rnacentral:rRNA from 1 species
UACGUAGGGUGCGAGCGUUAAUCGGAAUUACUGGGCGUAAAGCGUGCGCAGGCGGUUCGUUAUGUCCGAUGUGAAAGCCCCCGAGCUCAACUUGGGAAUGGCAUUGGAAACUGGCGGGCUGGAGUGUGGCAGAGGGGGGGUGGAAUUCCACGUGUAGCAGUGAAAUGCGUAGAGAUCGGGAGGAACCCCAGUGGCGAAGGCGGCCCCCUGGGCCGGGCCUGACGCUGAGCACGCGAAGGCGUGGGGAGCGAACGGG